AGUGAACGCUGGCGGUAGGCCUAACACAUGCAAGUCGAACGGCAGCACAGUAAGAGCUUGCUCUUACGGGUGGCGAGUGGCGGACGGGUGAGGAAUACAUCGGAAUCUACUUUUUCGUGGGGGAUAACGUAGGGAAACUUACGCUAAUACCGCAUACGACCUACGGGUGAAAGCAGGGGAUCUUCGGACCUUGCGCGAUUGAAUGAGCCGAUGUCGGAUUAGCUAGUUGGCGGGUUAAAGGCCCACCAAGGCGACGAUCCGUAGCUGGUCUGAGAGGAUGAGCGGCCACACUGGAACUGGGACAGGGAUCAGUCUACUAACGGAAGCAGCAGUGGGGAAUAGUGGGCGAUGGGCGCAAGCCUGAUACAGCCAUACCGCGUGGGUGCAGAAGGCCGUCGGGUUGUAAAGCCCUUUUGUUGGGACAGAAAAGCAGGCGGUUAAUACCCAGCUGUUCUGACGGUACCGAAAGAAUAAGCAGCGUCUAACGUCG
rnacentral:rRNA from 1 species